GAUGAUGUAGCUCAAUAGGUAGAGCACUUGAGUGUGGGUCAAGCUGUUCCCUGUUCGAGUCAGGGCAUUAUCC
rnacentral:tRNA from 1 species